rnacentral:rRNA from 1 species
CGUGUAGGCGGUUUAGCAAGUCAGAUGUGAAAGCCCUGGGCUUAACCCGGGAAGUGCAUUUGGAACUGCUUCACUAGAGUAUGGGAGAGGAGAUUGGAAUUCCUGGUGUAGAGGUGAAAUUCGUAGAUAUCAGGAGGAACACCCGUGGCGAAGGCGAUUCUCUGGACCAAUACUGACGCUGAGACGCGAAAGCGUGGGGAGCAAACAGGAUUAGAUACCCUGGUAGUCC